rnacentral:rRNA from 1 species
AUACGGAGGGUGCGAGCGUUAAUCGGAAUUACUGGGCGUAAAGCGUACGUAGGCGGUUGGUUAAGUUAGAUGUGAAAGCCCCGGGCUUAACCUGGGAACUGCAUUUAAAACUGGCGAACUAGAGUUGAGUAGAGGGGAGUGGAAUUUCAGGUGUAGCGGUGAAAUGCGUAGAGAUCUGAAGGAACACCAGUGGCGAAGGCGACUCCCUGGACUCGAACUGACGCUGAGGUACGAAAGAGUGGGUAGCAAACAGGAUUAGAAACCCUAGUAGUCC